GACGAACCGUGCGAACGUUGUUCGGAAUCACUGGGCUUAAAGGGCGCGUAGGCGGGCUGUCAAGUCUGGGGUGAAAUGCCGCGGCUCAACCGUGGAACUGCCUUAGAUACUGACGGCCUCGAGGAAGGUAGGGGCAUGCGGAACUGUAGGUGGAGCGGUGAAAUGCGUUGAUAUCUACGGGAACUCCGGUGGCGAAAGCGGCGUGCUGGACCUUUUCUGACGCUGAGGCGCGAAAGCUAGGGGAGCAAACGGG
rnacentral:rRNA from 1 species